rnacentral:rRNA from 1 species
UACGUAGGGUGCAGGCGUUAAUCGGAAUUACUGGGCGUAAAGCGUGCGCAGGCGGUUUGCUAAGACAGGUGUGAAAUCCCCGGGCUUAACCUGGGAACUGCGCUUGUAACUGGCAAGCUAGAGUGUGGCAGAGGGGGGUGGAAUUCCACGUGUAGCAGUGAAAUGCGUAGAUAUGUGGAGGAACACCGAUGGCGAAGGCAGCCCCCUGGGCCUGCACUGACGCUCAUGCACGAAAGCGUGGGGAGCAAACAGG